UUGUUGUUGUUCCUCAACCCACUGAUGGUGAUGUCACAUGUGUACCGCGGCCUUCCGAACUGAACUCAGCGGGCAACCCGGCAACCUCAUCAACGUUUGUGUCUCUCAGUUGUCUCACUGACGAGUUAGCCGCAGCCGUAGCACAAAGUGUAAACGAGGCUCUAGAUUUGACUCAUAUGUAUGGAGGAAAUCACGUAAACAUCAAUGCAACUCCUCAAGUUUUACCACAAUCCGGUUCAACAUCCAAGCACAUGACUACAGGAUCUGUCGUGCGUGUCUCCAAACCAUCUAAGAAAGUUAUCUUGUCUGAUGAAAAAAGGGAGCAGAUAAACGCCAAGAGGCGAGCUGCUUAUCGGAGGAAAAAAGAGGAGGAAGCAGAAAAAGUACAGCAUGGAAGUCAACCUGACCUUUCAAUAUCUGAUGACAAGAAAGAGCUAAUAAAUGCGCGGAGGCGGGCAACGUAUCUUAAGAACAAGGAAAAUGCUGACAUUAACAAGGAACAGAUGAAAGCUCCGUUGGUAGAUGGUUAUCGAAGAAAAUAUGAUGACAC